CCGGCGAUGGUGUAGUAGGUAAGCACAUUGUCCUAUUACGACGAAAAGCGGACGUUCGACUCGUCCUCGUCGGC